rnacentral:lncRNA from 1 species
AUGGCACCGUAUAUUGCUCGUGUAUAUAAACAAGACGUGAACGAGUCAAUUCUCGCGCGCGUCAGUUCAGUUUUGCUAUCGCGCAUGCGCGUCACGCAAGCGGCCGCGUUUGUCCAAGGCUGUCGUUUACAGGAGCCGCGGGUGAUGCCUGUUACUCAAACUGACAGCUUCUGUCGACUCCAGGAAUCAACAAGGCCACGAGUUCAGCUCAUGUUAGGCCUCAAGAGACAAGUCUUGUUAGAAGCCUAACAGGUAUUCUGGUGCUGUGUUUGUUUUGGCUGCUGAAGUAGACCGGCAGACUUUAUCCUUGGCCAGAAUGAUUGAUUGGACCUUUUGUUUCCAUUUACCCUUGAGGGCAGAGAGUCGGUAUAUCCAUUAUUUAUGUCCGCCUCGGUGUGGAGUCGUCCGCUUGGCCCCGUGUUCCUCCGGCCUUUAUGACAUAAACCUCCACUGAGAGAAUGUUUCAACAGAGAGAAAAUAUAGCAGCGAAAUCCAUCAAACAUAACCCGGUCACAGGUCCGCUCCACACAUCACCUUUACAGCGGAGCGGGAAUCGCUCUUUCUGGGAUAUCAGCGCUCAAAAGAGACUGUAAUUAUUGAAAUUAAUGAUGGUAAACGACUGUGGCUGAACACAUUUCUCUCCGGGUGGGUGUGUGAGGUUUACUUUUUAAAGCAUGUCCUGUGGAGAAAUACCCUGUAAUUACACAUCGAUAUACAGUAACCAAUGCAAUCUCAAGACAAUUCGUAGAUUUUUGAUUUACUGGGUAUUUCGUGUGAGUUUGUACGAUCUUGUUUUUAUAUUUUAGUAUGAUUUGCUUAUUCCCCCAAUGACAGGUGGGGUUUGGCGUCACGCCUCCUUUUCAUGAGUGAAACUGUAUGAAUUUUAU